rnacentral:rRNA from 1 species
UCCUAUGCAUGCAAGUCGUACGCACGCGCUUCGGCGCGCUGAGUGGCGCACGGCUGAGUAACACGUGGGAACCCGCCCUCCGGUGGGGGAUAACGCGACGAAAGUCGCGCUAAUCCCGCAUACGUCCGCAAGGGGAAAGCGCUUCGGCGCGCCGGAGGAGGGGCCUGCGGCCCAUCAGGUGGUUGGUGGGGUAACGGCCUACCAAGCCGAUGACGGGUAGCUGGUCUGGGAGGAUGACCAGCCAGACUGGGACUGAGACACGGCCCAGACUCCUACGGGAGGCAGCAGCAAGGAAUUUUCGGCAAUGGGCGCAAGCCUGACCGAGCAACGCCGCGUGCGGGAUGACGGCCUUCGGGUUGUAAACCGCUUUUCGGGGGGACGACUACGACGGUACCCCCGGAAGAAGCCCCGGCUAACUCUGUGCCAGCAGCCGCGGUAAGACAGAGGGGGCGAGCGUUGUCCGGAGUUACUGGGCGUAAAGCGCGCGCAGGCGGUGGUCUCA